UACGGAGGGUGCAAGCGUUAUCCGGAUUCACUGGGUUUAAAGGGUAGCGUAGGUGGGCAGGUAAGUCAGUGGUGAAAUCUCCGGGCUUAACCCGGAAAACUGGCCAUUGAUACUAUCAGUCUUGAAUACCGGUGGAGGUAAGCGGAAUAUGUCAGUGUAGCGGAUGAAAUGCUUGAUAUGACAUAGAAACACCAAUUGCGAAG
rnacentral:rRNA from 1 species